CUUCGAAGGAGGUAGAGAGAGGUGAGGGAACAAGAGGCAGAGAAGCCGCUGAAGGGAGGGCCCUGCAGAGAGGGAAUGGCCAAGUUGAAGUCAUCAGAUUGCAGCAGAUAUGCCAGACAGGAUGCUUUAAUCCAAAAGAUGAAGGAUAUGGUCCUCGUAUAGCAGUGAUCCUUCCACAAGAGAAUAAGGUCCAUGAAGUUGCUGAGCAACAAGGAGGAGGUCCCGGUGUUAUUCACUGGCUUGGUGCCUAUUAAAGUGCUGGCCAUGUGCAUCUUCCUGGGCAAACAAAAUCUUCUCAUGGAGUUCCCUGAUCCAGCUCUGAAGGCCUCGGGAGGAAGAACUGACAGAUGGAGACACAGGGACAGAAUGUUAAAGUCGAUUCUGCGUUCCUUUGCCUCCACCGCCUCCAGCACUCUCUGCACCAGGAUUUUUUAUUAAUGUCAAAGCAGGACCCCUGGAACCCAGCAGAUGGACUUCACCGGGAACUGACUACCUCUUAAAAAUGAACAUUCUUGGGUUUGGAUUGAGAACUGUUUGCAACAUGGACUUUGGGAGAAGGAAAACACCACAUGUCAAGGGUCAAUCAAUCAAUCAAUAGUAUUUAUUAAGCACCUACAGUGUACUGGUCACUGUGUGAGUAAGGACAGCUAGGUGGUACAGUGGAUAGAGCACUGGCCCUGAAGUUGGGAGGACCUGAGUUCAAAUCU